AAUUCUCAACCUCAACUUGCUUUGUCUAGUUGAGGCUUGGAUGUGAGGGCUUUGCUGGCUUCCUUCAGUGGAUGGUCUGCUCCCUUGAAAUGCAUUAGUGGGAUCCUUUGCGGACGGUCACUUGGUGUGAUAAUUAUCUACGCCGCUUGACUGUGAAGCAAGACAUGUGGGAACCUGCUUAUAACUGUCCUUCACGGGACAACUUCUUUUGACA
rnacentral:misc_RNA from 2 species